GACGAACGCUGGCGGCGUGCUUAACACAUGCAAGUCGAACGGAAAGGCCCUGCUUUUGUGGGGUGCUCGAGUGGCGAACGGGUGAGUAACACGUGAGUAACCUGCCCUUGACUUUGGGAUAACUUCAGGAAACUGGGGCUAAUACCGGAUAGGAGCUCCUGCUGCAUGGUGGGGGUUGGAAAGUUUCGGCGGUUGGGGAUGGACUCGCGGCUUAUCAGCUUGUUGGUGGGGUAGUGGCUUACCAAGGCUUUGACGGGUAGCCGGCCUGAGAGGGUGACCGGCCACAUUGGGACUGAGAUACGGCCCAGACUCCUACGGGAGGCAGCAGUGGGGAAUAUCGCACAAUGGGCGGAAGCCUGAUGCAGCAACGCCGCGUGCGGGAUGACGGCCUUCGGGUUGUAACCCGCUUUCGCCUGUGACGAAGCGUGAGUGACGGUAAUGGGUAAAGAAGCACCGGCUAACUACGUGCCAGCAGCCGCGGUGAUACGUAGGGUGCGAGCGUUGUCCGGAUUUAUUGGGCGUAAAGGGCUCGUAGGUGGUUGAUCGCGUCGGAAGUGUAAUCUUGGGGCUUAACCCUGAGCGUGCUUUCGAUACGGGUUGACUUGAGGAAGGUAGGGGAGAAUGGAAUUCCUGGUGGAGCGGUGGAAUGCGCAGAUAUCAGGAGGAACACCAGUGGCGAAGGCGGUUCUCUGGGCCUUUCCUGACGCUGAGGAGCGAAAGCGUGGGGAGCGAACAGGCUUAGAUACCCUGGUAGUCCACGCUGUAAACGGUGGGUACUAGGUGUGGGGUCCAUUCCACGGGUUCCGUGCCGUAGCUAACGCUUUAAGUACCCCGCCUGGGGAGUACGGCCGCAAGGCUAAAACUCAAAGGAAUUGACGGGGCCCCGCACAAGCGGCGGAGCAUGCGGAUUAAUUCGAUGCAACGCGUAGAACCUUACCUGGGUUUGACAUGGAUCGGGAGCGCUCAGAGAUGGGUGUGCCUCUUUUGGGGUCGGUUCACAGGUGGUGCAUGGCUGUCGUCAGCUCGUGUCGUGAGAUGUUGGGUUAAGUCCCGCAACGAGCGCAACCCUUGUUCACUGUUGCCAGCACGUUAUGGUGGGGACUCAGUGGAGACCGCCGGGGUCAACUCGGAGGAAGGUGGGGAUGACGUCAAGUCAUCAUGCCCCUUAUGUCCAGGGCUUCACGCAUGCUACAAUGGCUGGUACAGAGAGUGGCGAGCCUGUGAGGGUGAGCGAAUCUCGGAAAGCCGGUCUCAGUUCGGAUUGGGGUCUGCAACUCGACCUCAUGAAGUCGGAGUCGCUAGUAAUCGCAGAUCGGCAACGCUGCGGUGAAUACGUUCCCGGGGCU
rnacentral:rRNA from 1 species